UACGGAGGGAGCUAGCGUUGUUCGGAAUUACUGGGCGUAAAGCGCACGUAGGCGGCUUUGUAAGUUAGAGGUGAAAGCCCGGGGCUCAACCCCGGAAUUGCCUUUAAGACUGCAUCGCUUGAAUCCAGGAGAGGUGAGUGGAAUUCCGAGUGUAGAGGUGAAAUUCGUAGAUAUUGGGAAGAACACCGGUGGCGAAGGCGGCUCUCUGGACCGUAACUGACGCUGAGGCGCGAAAGCGUGGGGAGCAAACAGG
rnacentral:rRNA from 1 species